rnacentral:rRNA from 1 species
GAUGAACGCUAGCUACAGGCUUAACACAUGCAGGUCGCGGGGCAGCAUGGGGGUUGCUUGCAAUCCCCGAUGGCGACCGGCGCACGGGUGAGUAACGCGUAUCCAACCUGCCCUUCACCACGGGAUAACCCGGCGAAAGUCGGACUAAUACCGUAUGUUGUCCAUUGACGGCAUCCGAUUUGGACGAAAGGUUUGGCGGUGAAGGAUGGGGAUGCGUCCGAUUAGCUGGACGGCGGGGUGACGGCCCACCGUGGCGACGAUCGGUAGGGGUUCUGAGAGGAAGGUCCCCCACACUGGAACUGAGACACGGUCCAGACUCCUACGGGAGGCAGCAGUGAGGAAUAUUGGUCAAUGGGCGUAAGCCUGAACCAGCCAAGUAGCGUGCAGGAUGACGGCCCUAUGGGUUGUAAACUGCUUUUAUGCGGGGAUAAAGUGGCCCACGUGUGGGUUUUUGCAGGUACCGCAUGAAUAAGGACCGGCUAAUUCCGUG